GACGAACGCUGGCGGCAUGCCUAACACAUGCAAGUCGAACGAGACCUUCGGGUCUAUUGGCGCACGGGGGCGUAACGCGUGGGGAGCUGCCCUUGGGUUCGGUACAACUCCCUGUAAGAGAUCCUAAGGCCGGAGAAGGUCUUCGGACCAAAGAUUUAUCGCCUUGGGAUGGGCGCGCGUUGGUUUAGCUAGUUGGGAGAGGAAAAGCAUGCCAAGGCGACGAUGCAUAGCUGGUCUGAGAGGAUGCCCCGCCACACUGGGACGGAGACCCGGCCAAGACCGCUACGCGGAGCAGGAGUGGAGAGUAUUGGAGAAGGGGCGCAAGUCUGACCCAGCAAUGCCGCGUGAGUCGUGAAGGCCUUAGGGUUGUAAAGCUCUUUUAGCCGGGAUGAUAGUGACGGUAACGGGUGAAUAAGCUCCGGCUAACUCCGUG
rnacentral:rRNA from 1 species